rnacentral:rRNA from 1 species
AGCCUGUCGCAAGACAGGUGAAGACCUAGCGGCGAACGGGUGAGUAACACGUGAGGAACCUGCCCCGAAGACUGGGAUAACACCGGGAAACCGGUGCUAAUACCGGAUGCCCUCAAGGAGUCGCAUGGCUCAAUGGGGAAAUGGAUUCCGCUUCGGGAGGGCCUCGCGGCCUAUCAGCUUGUUGGUGGGGUAACGGCCUACCAAGGCUCCGACGGGUAGCUGGUCUGAGAGGACGACCAGCCACACUGGGACUGAGACACGGCCCAGACUCCUACGGGAGGCAGCAGUGGGGAAUCUUGCGCAAUGGGCGAAAGCCUGACGCAGCAACGCCGCGUGGGGGACGAAGGCCUUCGGGUUGUAAACCCCUUUCAGCAGGGACGAAAAUGACGGUACCUGCAGAAGAAGCCCCGGCCAACUACGUGCCAGCAGCCGCGGUAAUACGUAGGGGGCGAGCGUUGUCCGGAUUUAUUGGGCGUAAAGAGCUCGUAGGCGGUUUGGCAAGUCGGGUGUGAAAACUCCGGGCUCAACUCGGAGACGCCACUCGAUACAGCUAUGACUUGAGUCCGGUAGGGGAGUGCGGAAUUCCUGGUGUAGCGGUGAAAUGCGCAGAUAUCAGGAGGAACACCGGUGGCGAAGGCGGCACUCUGGGCCGGUACUGACGCUGAGGAGCGAAAGCGUGGGGAGCGAACAGGAUUAGAUACCCUGGUAGUCCACGCCGUAAACGUUGGGCACUAGGUGUGGGGCUCGAUCGACGGGCUCCGUGCCGUAGCUAACGCAUUAAGUGCCCCGCCUGGGAAGUACGGCCGCAAGGCUAAAACUCA